AGCUUUGCGCAGUGGCAGUACCGUAGCCAAUGAGGUUUAUCUGAGGCGCGAUUAUUGCUAAUUGAAAACUAAAGAUUCAAGAUACUAAAGAGAUGAAGUUGUAUUGGAAUAUUUCUUUUUUUAAUAAAAUGUUAUUUAACA